GGGCUUUCCUCCUGUGUUUCAACCGGAUGUCUGACCUGCUCUCGUGAACCUCGUCCAUUCAGCGCACUCUGAGUGAAAGCAUAGCUCGACUACACCUGUGUAUCCAAACCCGUGUCACGACUGUACGACGCGCAGGCAAGCAGAAUGAUCUUACCUCCCUCUUUCAUUUACUGAAUAGUCUGUGCAUUAUGCGCUGAAGCUGUCUUCGCGCGGGAACAGGCCUACAUUUUAGACUGCACGUAAACAGAGGUAGUAAUCCGUUCUCCUAUAGAUUAUUGGCCUCCUUUUAGCGAGGUUUACACAACAGUGUUACCGGUAGCCUACAAACUGAAGCAAACGAGAUUCGUGCCGACCCAUAAACGUCGGUAGUCCGUAUCUGUGGUAUCCCUUACCCGCCUCUACAACCACUCUUCUAAUAGUUUCCAGUCUUUCCGCCCUCUGCUCGGCAGAUAAGUCCGCGGAGCGCCGCGCGGUGUCCUCGUGGGGGCCAUUUCUCUUCCGCCAGCCCAAACAGCGCAGACCGGCUGUUAACUGAACACGCACACCACAUUCAUCAUUCCAGCAGUGGGGCAUUCCAACCGUCCAGAGUCAACACCAAAACAUCCACACCAGACCGUGUAAGUGUGUAGAGUCAUCUUGUGGGACUGAUCUCAGGCAAGAGGUUGUGAGAGCUGCUAAGAUGAACCAAGCUGUGUAAGAUGAGGACAAUGUUCUGUCUGGAGUCAGCCGAAUCAAUCCUCAUCACCAUUCAGCCCACCGAACCGGAUUGGUCUUCCUGGGAGUCCGACCCAGGCUCCGAGGCAGCCUCUGCCCUCCCCGACUCAGGAGAGACGUCUCCCCCCCUUUGGCAGAGAGCUUCAAACGGAGCAGCUGGGAGAGGUCUGUGGGGAGUCAGGAGGAUUGAGGGCUAUUUCUGAUCAACACAGCAUUACAUACACUGCUGGGCAAGGGAAGAGACCAAAAUACUCGGUGUGAUGCGGGAAAGCAUUUGAUUCUGUUUGGAUUAAAGAGGUACAUUCUCCACAAGUGGGGGAGUCUUACUGUCUUUCACGUGUUCUCUUAUAGAAAACCCCUAGAAAAGGAAGCUUGUGUGUGUGUGAAUAUGAGAGUGAGAGAGACACAUGAGUAUGAAUGAGAGAUAGAAUGUGUUUGUGUGAGAGAAUAACAUCUGUGACGGGAAGACGUGUGUGUGUGUGUGUGUGUGUGUGUGUGUGUGUGUGUGUGUGUGUGUGUGUGUGUGUGAGGGAGAGAGAGAGAGAGAAAGAGAGAAACGGGGGGGGGGGGGGCAGAGAGCGAGAACCCAAUGUAAGGAAAACAUGAGUAAAAAUGGUAUGUAUGAGCAUCUGCACACAUGUACUGUACUUCACUGCAUGUGUGCUUCAGACUGAAGGGUCCUGGCUUGCUCUGGGCUUGUUUGGGCCCUGGCUUUAUUGCCCAGGAGACGUGAACAGACCAGACGCUGCUUGCGUUCAUUUCACUUCACAGUAGAGGGGAGAUAAAUCACUUGCCUGACAACAGUCAAUCUCUCCACCAUACCCGCUGUUAGAACCUGGCUUCCUAUGCACAAGUCUGGACAGCUCUGGAACAGGCCUGUGCUAAGGCACAAGAAAGACAACACGGUGAAGAUUGCGCAUAUACUGCUGACGUUGUUGGAGAAGUUGGAUCUCCAUGCUGGAGAUGAUAUAAGUGAA
ensembl:lncRNA